rnacentral:rRNA from 1 species
UACAGAGGGUGCGAGCGUUAAUCGGAAUUACGGGGCGUAAAGCGCACGUAGGUGGCGACGUAAGUCGGGUGUGAAAGCCCCGGGCUCAACCUGGGAAUUGCAUUCGAGACUGCAUUGCUGGAGUACGGAAGAGGAAGGCGGAAUUCCCGGUGUAGCGGUGAAAUGCGUAGAUAUCGGGAGGAACAUCUGUGGCGAAGGCGACUGCCUGGACCAGCACUGACACUGAGGCACGAAAGCGUGGGGAGCAAACAGG